rnacentral:misc_RNA from 1 species
GAAAACUCGGUGUUUUCUGGGAAGCUAUCUGUGAUGGACGACACAGUGUUGAUCCUGUUCCUACCGGCAUUCUGGUGCUGGGAAUAAUUGGGGGAAAGGUCAUUAUACUGAAGGCGCUGAGUUGAUUGAUGUUUUUCUUGAUGUUGUUCAUGAAGAGGCGGAGAAUUGAUGCAAGAUGCUGACUACAAAGGGUGUGGAAGAGGCCGUUGAAGCUGGG